GGGCCCUUAGCUCAUUUAGCAGAGCGCCUGCUCCGCAAGCAGGAGGCGCCCGGAGCGAAGCCGGGAGGGUCCACCA
rnacentral:tRNA from 1 species